UACAGAGGUCUCAAGCGUUGUUCGGAUUCAUUGGGCGUAAAGGGUGCGUAGGCGGCGCCGUAAGUCUGGUGUGAAAUCCCGGAGCUCAACUCCGGAAGUGCACUGGAUACUGCGGUGCUCGAGGGCUGGAGAGGAGACUGGAAUUCACGGUGUAGCAGUGAAAUGCGUAGAUAUCGUGAGGAAGACCGGUGGCGAAGGCGGGUCUCUGGACAGUUCCUGACGCUGAGGCACGAAGGCCAGGGGAGCAAACGGG
rnacentral:rRNA from 1 species